GACGAACGCUGGCGGCGUGCUUAACACAUGCAAGUCGAACGGAAAGGCCCUGCUUUUGUGGGGUGCUCGAGUGGCGAACGGGUGAGUAACACGCGAGUAACCUGCCCUUGACUUUGGGAUAACUUCAGGAAACUGGGGCUAAUACCGGAUAGGAGCUCCUGCUGCAUGGUGGGGGUUGGAAAGUUUCGACGGUUGGGGAUGGACUCGCGGCUUAUCAGCUUGUUGGUGGGGUAGUGGCUUACCAAGGCUUUGACGGGUAGCCGGCCUGAGAGGGUGACCGGCCACAUUGGGACUGAGAUACGGCCCAGACUCCUACGGGAGGCAGCAGUGGGGAAUAUUGCACAAUGGGCGGAAGCCUGAUGCAGCAACGCCGCGUGCGGGAUGACGGCCUUCGGGUUGUAAACCGCUUUCGCCUGUGACGAAGCGUGAGUGACGGUAAUGGGUAAAGAAGCACCGGCUAACUACGUGCCAGCAGCCGCGGUGAUACGUAGGGUGCGAGCGUUGUCCGGAUUUAUUGGGCGUAAAGGGCUCGUAGGUGGUUGAUCGCGUCGGAAGUGUAAUCUUGGGGCUUAACCCUGAGCGUGCUUUCGAUACGGGUUGACUUGAGGAAGGUAGGGGAGAAUGGAAUUCCUGGUGGAGCGGUGGAAUGCGCAGAUAUCAGGAGGAACACCAGUGGCGAAGGCGGUUCUCUGGGCCUUUCCUGACGCUGAGGAGCGAAGGCGUGGGGAGCGAACAGGCUUAGAUACCCUGGUAGUCCACGCUGUAAACGGUGGGUACUAGGUGUGGGGUCCAUUCCACGGGUUCCGUGCCGUAGCUAACGCUUUAAGUACCCCGCCUGGGGAGUACGGCCGCAAGGCUAAAACUCAAAGGAAUUGACGGGGCCCCGCACAAGCGGCGGAGCAUGCGGAUUAAUUCGAUGCAACGCGUAGAACCUUACCUGGGUUUGACAUGGGUCGGGAGUGCUCAGAGAUGGGUGUGCCUCUUUUGGGGUCGGUUCACAGGUGGUGCAUGGCUGUCGUCAGCUCGUGUCGUGAGAUGUUGGGUUAAGUCCCGCAACGAGCGCAACCCUUGUUCACUGUUGCCAGCACGUUAUGGUGGGGACUCAGUGGAGACCGCCGGGGUCAACUCGGAGGAAGGUGGGGAUGACGUCAAGUCAUCAUGCCCCUUAUGUCCAGGGCUUCACGCAUGCUACAAUGGCUGGUACAGAGAGUGGCGAGCCUGUGAGGGUGAGCGAAUCUCGGAAAGCCGGUCUCAGUUCGGAUUGGGGUCUGCAACUCGACCUCAUGAAGUCGGAGUCGCUAGUAAUCGCAGAUCAGCAACGCUGCGGUGAAUACGUUCCCGGGGCU
rnacentral:rRNA from 1 species